rnacentral:miRNA from 2 species
AGUGAGGAGGCCGGGGCCGCU